rnacentral:lncRNA from 10 species
GUCGGCCCCGUGACCCCCAGCGGGGCGGAGCCUAAGGCUGGGGGCGGAGCGGAGUCAGGUGGGCGAGAGACAGAAGGCGAGGGUGGAGGGUGGAAGAAGAGAAGGUGGGGAGGGGAGUGGGCAUGGGCGAAGGGUAUAGGGGACGCGGGGGCUAAAGAAAGGCGAAAGCGGGGAGAGGUGGUGAUGGAGAUGAGAGGAGAGAAGCGCAAGGUAACGGGAGGUGAAGGGGAGCACGAGAAUGGAGAUGACGUGGGUAAGAGAGGAGAUGAGGAAAGGAAGGGGAACGAGAGGAUUGGCAAAAAAGAACGGUGACAAGGAGAGAUGAUAAAGGGGCAGGAGGAGAAGGCGAGUAGGAAAGAAAAGAGGUGAGGGAGCGAGGACUGGAAGCUGGUGAAUGAAUGAGAAGUGAUCGGGAGUAAGGGGCGUCAGGAGGAAGGAGGAAGGGCGAUGAGAAGGCGGCGGCGGAGGGGAAGGGGGGAGGCCCGGCGCGGCGGCUCACGCCUCUAAUCCCAGCGCUUCCGGAGGCCAAGGCGGGAGCAUCGCUUGAGCCCAGGAGUUCGAGACCAGCCUGGGCAACAUAGGGAGACCCUUUCUCUACAAAAUAAAAAGUAAAACAGCCGGGCCUGGUGGCGCUGCUUGUGGUCCCAGCUACUGGGGAGGCUGAGGUGGGAGGAUCGCUUGAGCCUCGGAGGUUGAGGCCGCAGUGAGCUGUGAUGGCACCACUGCACUCCAGCCUGGGCCACAGAAGGAGACCCUGUCUCAAAAAACAAACAAACAAAAAGGAGGUGAGUUAGUUAUGGAGGAGAUGAGGUGGUGUGGGAAGAGGUGAGAGGGAGGCACAGAGGUAAAAGAAAAAGGAGAAAGACAGGAGGGAGAGGGGAAGUGAAAAGGAAAGAGAGGUAGAAAUGAGAGGAGGGGAAAGAGUAGGAGAAAGGGUGAAGGGAGAGGAGGUGAAAGGAAGACAGAGAGGGAGAGAGAGAAGGUGUGUUUAUGUCUAUUCUCCACAAGCAGGGUUUCACCACAGCCACUGGCAAGAUACACACAUCCAUAUGACCCUCCUGUCACAGCAGCAGUGACCUUGCAGUUCAGUGAACUUCUGUUUAUUGAGUGUCGCAGCUGUGCAUAGUAUACCAGGAAGCACUGACCUCUCUCUGUAGUUUAUCCUGUUAUAAACCUGUGAACCCUCACAGUGCAGUGAACUGGACCUGGGCUUUGGGAGUCAGGGGAAGAAACCCAGAUGGCCAGUGUCACACAGCCUGCAAAUGAGUGCUGGGGGACAGAUACUCUGGCCCCAAGGCAGCUUCCACUCCAUUCCACAAUGAUGCUAUCACAGCAACCAUUAGUGGUGUCCCCUGGGCCCCUUCCCCCAAGGGCAGCCAUGGGCUUAUGCAAAGACAGUUGUCUUCCUUGGAAACCUCAGAGGCACAGACAUCCCAGGCAGGCAUGCUCCAGUGCUCGGGUCUUAGCUCAGACGUCUCUGGGAAGCCUUCCCUGACCUGUCUCAAGUAGCCCCCUCUCUCCCUAGCUGAUGUUUUCCACAGCACUUUCUGAGCUUUUGUACGUGUUGACUAUUUGUUGUCUCACUAAAGCACGGUUGCAGAGGGGCAGGCCAUAUCCCCAGGGCCCGGUCUACAGUCACGUUGAAUAUUUCAUGGCCUUAAAUUCUGCAAGUUCCACUGCUUGUAAUGCGAUUUCGCAGUCACUCCCAGCAAGAGGUAGAGUUUGUUUCUCCACCAGCCUGAACCUAGACUAGCCUUGUGGCUGGUCUUGACCAAUAGAAUGUGACAGAAAAGAGGCUGCACAAGUCCCAGAGCAUCAACAGCCCUGGCUCACUUCUUCCUUUACUGCCUGGGAAUGCUGAAUGACACUCAGAAGCAGCCCUGGGCAGGUCAGUGGCUCAUGCCUGUAAUUCCAACACUGGGAGGCUGAAGUAGGAGGAUCACUUGAGCCCAGGAGUUCGAGACCAGCCUGGGCAACAUAUCAAGACCCUGAUGCUACAAAAAAUUUAAAAAAUUAUCCAGGAAUAGUGAUGCCUGCCUGUAGUCCCAGCUACUUGGAGGGCUGAGGUGGGAAGAUUGCUUGAGCCCAGGAGGUGGAGGCUGUAGUGAGCCGUGACUGCCCCUCUGCCCUCCAGCCUGGGAGACAGAGCAAGACUCUGUCUCAAACAACAACAACAAUAAUAACAACAAAAUGGUAGCAGCCCCAGAAGAAAGAGCACGUGGAUAGGGAGCCCAGUCAUUGCAGCUCUCCCAGCCGACCCACCAGCUGAAUACAGCAGCAC